UAUAGGAGAGACGAUAAGGCUGCACCAAAUGGUCAGCAAGAUAAAGAUUAUACUAAAAAUAUUGACGAUAACUUUCUUGGAACAAAGUGUCCUUCCUUUAACAAAGAGGAUUCGGAGAUCCAAGGAAAGAAACCUAAGGAAAAAGCAAAAUUUACACAAUUCUGCACAAAUGCAUUCUGUAAAUUGUUCUGUUGUGUGUCAGACGAGAUUUCUGGUUCUCAGGUAAGACGUCGUUCUUUCUGUCGUCUUCCAAUUAACAAAUGACCACCAAUCGCUUACUGCGAUUGGUGGUCAUUUGCCACUGUAUUAUACGAAAUGUUAAUCGGAAGCACCCCAUUAGACAUUUACCUUGAAAAAAUGAAGGUCGACAUCAAUUCAUUCUCUAUUAUCGACAUGAUAAACAUUGCUCAAAAUAUGGAGUUGGUGUAUCCGAAUCGUACGCUACUGUCGAUGGAUGCAACACUCAUAAUCGAGGAUUUGUUACAGAAAGACCCAAAUAAACGUCUAUCAGAAACGGACAUCAGUAAACACAUGUUUUUUGAUGGAGUCCUAUGGCCAGAAUUAAUCCAGACUUGACCUAUC